UACGUAGGGUGCAAGCGUUAAUCGGAAUUACUGGGCGUAAAGCGUGCGUAGGCGGUUAUGCAAGACAGAGGUGAAAUCCCCGGGCUCAACCUGGGAACUGCCUUUGUGACUGCAUAGCUAGAGUACGGUAGAGGGGGAUGGAAUUCCGCGUGUAGCAGUGAAAUGCGUAGAUAUGCGGAGGAACACCGAUGGCGAAGGCAAUCCCCUGGACCUGUACUGACGCUCAUGCACGAAAG
rnacentral:rRNA from 1 species